rnacentral:rRNA from 1 species
AUACGUAGGGGGCGAGCGUUGUCCGGAAUGAUUGGGCGUAAAGGGCGCGUAGGCGGCGCGGUAAGUCUGGAGUGAAAGUCCUGCUUUCAAGGUGGGAAUUGCUUUGGAUACUGCCGCGCUUGAGUGCAGGUGAGGUUAUCGGAAUUCCCGGUGUAGCGGUGAAAUGCGUAGAGAUUGGGAGGAACACCAGUGGCGAAGGCGACUUACUGGACUGUAACUGACGCUGAGGCGCGAAAGUGUGGGGAGCAAACAGGAUUAGAUACCCUGGUAGUCCACACUGUAAACGAUGAAUGCCAGGUGUAGGGGGUAUCGACCCCUUCUGUGCCGCAGUCAACACAAUAAGCAUUCCGCCUGGGGAGUACGGCCGCAAGGUUGAAACUCAAAGGAAUUGACGGGG